AGUGAACGCUGGCGGUAGGCCUAACACUUGCAAGUCGAACGGCAGCACAGUAAGAGCUUGCUCUUACGGGUGGCGAGUGGCGGACGGGUGAGGAAUACAUCGGAAUCUACUUUUUCGUGGGGGAUAACGUAGGGAAACUUACGCUAAUACCGCAUACGACCUACGGGUGAAAGCAGGGGAUCUUCGGACCUUGCGCGAUUGAAUGAGCCGAUGUCGGAUUAGCUAGUUGGCGGGGUAAAGGCCCACCAAGGCGACGAUCCGUAGCUGGUCUGAGAGGAUGAUCAGCCACACUGGAACUGAGACACGGUCCAGACUCCUACGGGGGGCAGCAGUGGGGAAUAUUGGACAAUGGGCGCAAGCCUGAUCCAGCCAUACCGCGUGGGUGAAGAAGGCCUUCGGGUUGUAAAGCCCUUUUGUUGGGAAAGAAAAGCAGCAGGUUAAUACCCCGCUGUUCUGACGGUACCCAAAGAAUAAGCACCGGCUAACUUCGUG
rnacentral:rRNA from 1 species